rnacentral:ncRNA from 1 species
AUAUUUAUAUAGUAAUAAAUACUUGUUUGUUAUAGUUCUUUAUACAAAUAAUUUGAUUUAUAUGAUGUAGAAGAUUAAUUUUAAUAAUUUAAAUAAUAAAGUUUAUAUUAAAGUUCUGGCGAAGCCUGUGCCAGCAGCCGCGGUUACACAGGCAGUGCAAAAGUAUUGUGUUGAUGGUAACAUCAAGAAUAUUAGGUAAGGUAAAUGAAGGUGAAAUUUAUUUAUGUUUAUAAUUGUUAGGAUUAUUGGAGUAGUAUUAAGAAACCAGGAUUAGAUACCCUGUUAUUUAUAUAUAGAUAUAGUGAGUAUAAUUUGAGUUAUAAAGCUAAUUAUUAUGGCGGUGUAUUAAUCUAUUUAGAGGAGUUUAUUCUGUAAUCGAUAUAGCUCGAAAAUCUUACUAAAUUUUGUUAAGCCAGCUUGUAUAUCGCUAUCAUUAAUUUAUGUAAUUAUAUAAUAAAUUAAUUUUAUUUUAUAAAAAAUGUUAGGUCAAGAUGCAGCAUAAAGUUUUGGUUGAAAUAAAUUACUAUAAUUUAUAUUAGUUUAAUUGAAAAUUAAUUAUAGAAUUUAACAGUAAAAUGAAAUUAUAAUGUUCAUUUGAAAUUAGUAAUAAUACAUGUACAUAUUGCCCGUCACUCUCUUAUUGAGAUAAGUCGUAACAAAGUAAGACUACCGGAAGGUGGUUUUAC